rnacentral:rRNA from 1 species
UCCAUCACUUCCCGGUUUUGAUCUUCACCGGUUGAGAUCGGGGAUUGAUAAUUUUACUUUGAAAAAAUUAGAGUGCUCAAAGCAUGCGUGACGCAUGAAUAAUGGUGCAUGGAAUAAUGGAAUAGGACCUCGGUUCUAUUUUGUUGGUUUUCGGAACACGAGGUAAUGAUUAAGAGGGACAGACGGGGGCAUUCGUAUUGCGACGCUAGAGGUGAAAUUCUUGGACCGUCGCAAGACGAACUACUGCGAAAGCAUUUGCCAAGAAUGUUUCCAUUAAUCAAGAACGAAAGUUAGAGGUUCGAAGGCGAUCAGAUACCGCCCUAGUUCUAACCAUAAACGAUGCCAGCCAGCGAUCCGGCUGUGUUCCUCAAAUGACACGCCGGGCAGCUUCCGGGAAACCAAAGCUUUUGGGUUCCGGGGGAAGUAUGGUUGCAAAGCUGAAACUUAAAGGAAUUGACGGAAGCGCACCACCAGGAAUGGAGCCUGCGGCUUAAUUUGACUCAACACGGGAAAGCUUACCCGGAUAGGACACAGGAAGGAUUGACAGAUUAAGAGCUCUUUCUUGAUUCUGUGGAAGGUGGUGCAUGGCCAUUCUUAGUUGGUGGAGUGAUUUGUCUGGUUAAUUCCGAUAACGAUCGAGACUCUAGCCUACUAAAUAGACGUUCCGAUUCUUGUUGUCGGACGUUCUUCUUAGAGGGACACGCGGCGUUUAGCCGCACGAGACAGAGCAAUAGUAGGUCUGUGAUGCCCUUAGAUGUCCGGGGCCGCACGCGCGCUACAUUGAAGGACUCAGCGUGUGCUUUCCCUGUCCGACAGGACUGGGUAACCCGUUGAACCUCCUUCGUGCUUGGGAUAGGCGAUUGUAAUUGUCCGCCUUGAACGAGGAAUUCCCAGUAAGCACGAGUCAUCAGCUCGUGUUGAUUACGUCCCUGCGCUUUGUGCACACCRCCCGUCGCUACAUC